GGGGGCGUUUGGUUUUGACAGCAUAGGUCUUUGAAAGUGUAAGCAUGCAGAGCGUUGGAUAAUUAGCUCUUAAAUCUGAAUACCCAAAACUCAAAUGGCAAUACUCAGUAUGCCAUGGCCGCUUAAUCAGUGAUUAAGUAGUCAUUAGGGCCGCGGCGCAGGGUUGUCUGUACCCAAGUGCUGCCGCCGACUUAAAACAACUACAGGCUGCUGCAACCGAAGGCUGUGACGGUUGCUUAAGACCAUACAGCUACGGAGAUAAUUGGUUGGGUUCUUCCCGGUCAUCUCCCGACAAGCAAUAAGAACAUAAGCAUGUAGAAAGCUUUUGAAUGUCAUGUUUGGACACGGGUUCGAAUCCCGUCGCCUCCACAA
rnacentral:tmRNA from 1 species